rnacentral:rRNA from 1 species
GGUGAACGCUGACAGAAUGCUUAACGCAUGCAAGUCGAUGGGGAAGUGGUGCUUGCCCCAUGGCAACCAUGGCGGACGGGUGAGUAACGCGUAAGGGACUUACCUGCAGGACUGGGAUAACAGGGGGAAACUCCUGACAAGACCGGAUAAUGUCAUGGAGCUGCAUGGCUUUAUGAUGAAAGGAGACGCCUGCGGAGAGCCUUGCGUCCUAUUAGCUAGUUGGUGAGGUAAUGGCUCACCAAGGCGAAGAUAGGUAGCCGGCCUGAGAGGGUGGACGGCCACAAGGGGACUGAGAUACGGCCCUUACUCCUACGGGAGGCAGCAGUGGGGAAUAUUGGACAAUGGGGGCAACCCUGAUCCAGCAAUUCUGUGUGCACGAAGAAGGUUUUCGGAUUGUAAAGUGCUUUCAGCAGGGAAGAAGUAAGUGACGGUACCUGCAGAAGAAGCGACGGCUAAAUACGUG